CUUUAAAAGCAUGAAGACCUCAUAUCCAUCUCCAUUAUCCUGUUGGUGACAGAGUGUCUCCCAAAAAUCGUGUGCACUGGAACCUGAGAAUGUGACUUUGCUUGGAAAUAGAGUCCUUGCAGAUGUAAUCAAACUAAGAUGAGGUCAUUUGUGUCCUUACAAGAAGAGGAAAAAUUUGGACACAGAGAUGCACACGGGCAGAAGGCCAUGUGAUAGAAGACAGAUCGGAGUGGCCAUCUAUGUGACUAGGAGCACCAGGGACUGCCAGCAGUCACCAGAAGCGGGAAGAAGAAGGGAGGAUGGAGGUUUCCGAGGGAGCACGGCCCGACCUUGAUUUUGGACAUCCAGCCUCCAGAACGGGCGGCGACCAAGCAGCGGUUGUUACCGAUAAAGUCCUGUGGAACGAACCAAUAGGAACGAUGGUUCUGUAGUUAUGCGUUGGAAACACACUUCUCCGCUCUACGAUUGGAGUAAGCACACAGUGAGUCCACUGGAUUGUUUCUUCCCAGACAAGACUUGCCCUGGCUCUAAGGAAGUGAGCUGGGGGAAAUUUCGGGCAGGAGACAGGGCACUGAGUCAUGCCAUGGUCAGAACAAAGAGAAAAUAGCCCUGUGUCACUGCAAAAGUGGGAUUCCCAUGACCAAAGUGCAAUGUGUACCUCACUUUAUCUAGCACAUGGCUCCAGGGGAGUCUAAAUGCUGGGCUUGGGGGAGCCCUGUCCUUCCAGAUGCCAGGACAAGUGCCCGGCUUGCCCAGGGACCCUCUCAUUUGGCUUCUGCACAAGUUCAGCACUGGUGUUUAACUUUCCUCCCUUUUUUUUUUUUCUUCCUCCCUGUUAUUUAAAUGGUUUUAAACAUGAAACUAGGCCAGGAAAAGGGGGUGGCAUUGUUUUAAUAAUUAGCAAUUAUGAUCGCUGCAAUAUUAAUUGCAUAUUUCCAUAGCAAACACGUCCCCAGAGGGCCAGGGGGAGUGGUGGUUAGAGACUGCCAGAGCCUAAAACUGGAAUUCCUGAGAACAGAAAGAGGAGAGGAAAUCAACUUCUUCCAUUUAAGCAAAUUACCACGGGGACUGCAGGGCCCCUCUAAUUAGCCCAGCUUGCAGGAGCUGGUGAGCAGGCUGGUGGGAAGUCUCACUCGGUACCGCCGGGCCUGCCCGCGCAGGCCCCUGCCCCGUUAUUUCUUUUAUUUUUGUCAUUUGGGCAAGACAGCAGCUUGUUUCCAGGGGGGCAGCUGGGCCGGGCUGGAGGCUGACACUCCAGAUCUCAGUGCCCCGGGCCCCCAGGCUGGGACCCCGGGUUCAUUUGUGCAAAUCCUGACCACAGAAGGGCAAAAUGGGACAGGACCGCAGGCGAUUCCGCGUGGUGGCGCUCGAGGGAGGCUGCGGCAGGGGAGGCCACGGAGCCUGCCUUUCCGAUUCUGUGACACAGAUCGAGGGGUUCAGGGUGGAACGGGGGUGGGGGGAGGAAGAAGCAGAGGGCGUGGGAGAAGCAGGCAUGACGGGAGGAGAGGGAGAAAGGAGGGCCCCCAAGGGAAGGUGGUGCUGUAGAAAGAAGCAGCAGCCGAGAGGGGCAGGCAAGCGAGUAAGGGGGCCUGAACUGCAGGCAGAGGAAAGAAAUGAGGGAGAGCAGGGUAGGGAUUAAAACGAAAAGGCGACGGAGCCAUCAGGCCGAAGGUAAGAUUAAUCAGAGAAGACUUCCUGGAAGCGGGGUCCUUCAUGACUGCUUCUGGGGCUCUUUCUAACCCAUCACACCUCCUCCCCAGCAUCACCUUUCAUUAGCCACUGAGUUCUUAAAAGCAAACUUCCUAACAGAGGCAAGCCCCGCCUGGCUGUGUCUGUGGCCAGGGGGCCAUCUCCCAGAAGGGGGAAGGGUCCCAUCCACCUGCUCCUGGUCUGUUUCACAGGACACAUGGUCUUCGUUUUAAAGUAAACUUGCUAAGCAAAACUCCAAAUUCACAAAUAGAGACGUUACAGGGUAAUAAUUCUCAUUGUAAAAGGGUUCCCCCUAAGGUGCCUUUAAAUGGGGGGGGACCCUCCCCCGUGCAUGGAGGCGUUUGUUUACAGAUCAUCGACUCCUCGAUGGAGAAGCUGGGAGGCUUGACGGAGAAACUUACACACAAAAUGUCUCUGGCUGCUUCCAAUGGAAAAAGAUAAACAAUGAAAAUAAAGCGAAUGUGCUUCAAGAGACGGGAAUCCAAUCGUGCAACGGUAAUGAUAGCGAUAAUACUUGAUGCAUACAAGUGCCCGUCAUUUCGCAGAGCUCUUCAUGCCUCCUGUCCCCCCCCCCCCCGCCCCAGCCCCUGUCAGAACAGCGGUGGGGCCAUCACCCUGUGCAUUGGCAAUGCCACAAGGAAGGUCAGAAAUCAGUCCCAGUGGGCAGGUGAGGAUACGAGGCCCAAAGGUCUUAGUGCCUACCUGAGGUCACACCUUGCACAGGCAGACUCUGAACCCCGCCCACACUCGGUGUUUCUGGGAUUGUUUUCAUCACCUCUUGCUCCCCGUGCGGGCGAGAGAGGGAUUCCCGCCCUAGGAUGAUAGGGACAAUGGGACACACGACACCCAACACCAGACAGGUGAAAUGGAGAGCAAGCGGUCCCUUGGUCACAGAUGCUCAAAUCCCGAGAGCGAGGAUGUCUCACGCUGUGCAGAGCCACCUGGGGGGAUGCCCUCGGGAACAGAGGGAACAACAGGGGCUGUGGAAGGCAGGCUUUGUAGUGGAAAGAGGGCGAGAUGCCCCCUGGUUCCUAAGGGAAGGUGUGACCCGCUUGUUUGAAUCAUUCAGGGAUGAGCAUGACCAGAAUUGGCCCGUGGAUAAGGACAGUGGUGUGGUUGGGGACCCUUAUCUGUGGAAGCAGGGUGAGGAAGGGAACAUUAGUUUAGAUGCUUUGGGGUCCUCCCAAUUUCACCAGCUGCCAAAGCAGCACCUUAGUCAGACUUUAAUCUCAGGCCCCGCACCACAGAGGUCCCCUUAGGGACAAGGCCCCGUACCCGUCAGCACCCUGGACAGCCCAUGUUUCAAUAACAUGGCCAAGGGCUUCUAAGAAACGAUACCACCCAAUGCCCAAACCAGGUCAGGAGAUGAUGUGUCCCCAAGGCAGCGCAGGGCCAGCGGCUCGGUCCCAGAGCAGCUUUCCCCGCCCCCACCGCCCACCCUGGGCUGGGCUGGGUGGGUUAUGGGAGCCCCAGCCCAUAAAACACAUUCCCCUCCCACCCCUCCCACCUUCCUCUGUUAACAAGUCUGGUAGGCUUUGCUCACUCUGUGUGUACACAAACAUUACCCGGUGUAUUUUUGAUCUUACUUAUCCCUGGGAAUCCAUCUCAAAGCCGCCUUUGGAAACUCCUAAGCAGGAUGUAAUGCGUGGAUUUCAGCCUCUGCUCGAUAGUUUGCAAUGUAGUUAUUCCCCAAGCCUUAGCAUGUGGGAAGAAAACAACCGAAGCAGAAACAUGUUUAACCAAACAGCAGCUUGGGGGUGGGGGGAGAUGGGGAAGGGAGAAAGAAAGGGAGGGACAGAGAGGGGAGGCCCUGGGCAGCCCUUGUGCCUGCUUCUUCCAAGAACUUGCUAAAUGAUUUCUAGAAGCUGCCUGCCUCAGCCCCAGAACUGUCUGGGCGUCCUCUGGCCAAGGGUGCCUGCCGGGUGCUGUUGGCAGAGGGAACUAUGGAGGGAGGUCCAGGGGCGAUCAGCAGGUAGAAACGUGGAAAAAUGCUCCUGCCAGAACAUUUGAAAGUACUUUGAAGUUUAAGGAGAAAAACAUAAGGACAUAAAACAUGAUUCCACUACAAUAACUCUACGAGGUAAGCAUGACUAAGGACAAAAAUUAAACGGCGAUCAAGAAAAAUCAAAGUGCUUUGUAAUAACUGGGUGGCGGGUGGGACUUUGACUCCCCCCCCCCCCACCUUGGAGAGGUCUUCUAUUAUAAUAAUAGUGUUUGGGUAAUUAUAAUAUUCUGGUGUGAUUAUGAAUAGUGUUGGGGUAACUGGUAAGAAUCAGGAAGGAAAAAGAGAGUGUGGUAUCACCCCUCUGAGAACUAGUCAUCCAGAUAAAGGGGCCACUUGAAGCCAUCACGCAAAUAUCUCUUAAUUAAAAGAAGUCAAAGGGAAUGCUGGGUAGGCUUGAAAUUAGGGAUUGGUCUGUAAGCAGAGGUGGCUUCCGGAAGGAGGAAGUGCCGGAGAUAGAAACAGCCACACUGAAUCUCUUUCAACCCACCCUCUAGGCAGGUCAGGCCUGCAGGAGUGAUCGGUUUGUCCCCGGUGUCUUUUAUCCUUUGUGGAGGGCCAGCGCCCCACCUCGAAUCACCUGAAACCAGAGCUUACGUGACCGGGUCCGAGCCACCCCGGGACAGGAGGCUGCAGAGGGACAGAGGAAGCCCAACCUGCAGCCACCACAGCCACCAGAAUGGCAUGGGAGCCUUAAGGGACGAGACGAGGCUCUCACCCGCUCCCUGCCGAGCUCUGGGUGCUCAGUACGUUUCUCCAAUACACGUCCACACUGGGUGGCCACGCGUCGAGAUUCCAGAGAUCUCCGGACCCCGUGCUGAGGCUCUGGGAGAGGCGGCAGCCACGAGAGCUCCAGUGCCUUCGUCAGAUGGAUGCCACAUAGACAGCGGUAACUAUUUACUGGAUGGAACCGGGAGGAAACAAGGCCACCAGGAGUGCUUCGUGGCUGAGGCAUCCGACACAGAGGUGACACGGGCUGUGCUGGGCCUACAGCUGUAGCCCCUGAAGUCUUACCCAGUUCCUCAUAACCCUUGAUCCCAGCUCCCACCACACGUCUCCCAGCGCCGCUUCUGUGCCCGGCCAGCUCCCCGGAUCCCACCUCUGCCCACCCCGUGCUUAUCACGUGUCAGCACACCCUAGGCUUCCGGUGAAUCGCUGUCCCCCACUGAAUCUGUGUAGAGGACUUUGCAUUGUAAAAUCAUGUUAUACUGUAUUGUAUUCUCCAAUAUUGCUGUUAUUAUACACUCCAAUAUUACUAUCAUCC